rnacentral:rRNA from 1 species
GACGAACGCUGGCGGCGUGCUUAACACAUGCAAGUCGAACGGAAAGGCCCUGCUUUUGUGGGGUGCUCGAGUGGCGAACGGGUGAGUAACACGUGAGUAACCUGCCCUUGACUUUGGGAUAACUUCAGGAAACUGGGGCUAAUACCGGAUAGGAGCUCCUGCUGCAUGGUGGGGGUUGGAAAGUUUCGGCGGUUGGGGAUGGACUCGCGGCUUAUCAGCUUGUUGGUGGGGUAGUGGCUUACCAAGGCUUUGACGGGUAGCCGGCCUGAGAGGGUGACCGGCCAAAUUGGGACUGAGAUACGGCACAGACUCCUACGGGAGGCAGCAGUGGAGAAUAUUGCACAAUGGGCGGAAGCCUGAUGCAGCAACGCCGCGUGCGGGAUGACGGCCUUCGGGUUGUAAACCGCUUUCGCCUGUGACGAAGCGUGAGUGACGGUAAUGGGUAAAGAAGCACCGGCUAACUACGUG